rnacentral:tRNA from 1 species
GGGCAUUUAGCUCAGCUGGUUAGAGCACCAGCUUCACACGCUGGGGGUCGUAGGUUCGAGUCCUAUAGUGCCCACCA